rnacentral:rRNA from 1 species
GGGUUGUGAGGUUAAGCGACUAAGCGUACACGGUGGAUGCCCUGGCAGUCAGAGGCGAUGAAGGACGUGCUAAUCUGCGAUAAGCGUCGGUGAGGUGAUAUGAACUGUUAUAACCGGCGAUUUCCGAAUGGGGAAACCCAGUGUGUUUCGACACACUAUCAUUAACUGAAUCCAUAGGUUAAUGAGGCGAACCGGGGGAACUGAAACAUCUAAGUACCCCGAGGAAAAGAAAUCAACCGAGAUUCCCCCAGUAGCGGCGAGCGAACGGGGAGGAGCCCAGAGCCUGAAUCAGUGUGUGUGUUAGUGGAAGCGUCUGGAAAGGCGCGCGAUACAGGGUGACAGCCCCGUACACAAAAAUGCACAUAUUGUGAGCUCGAUGAGUAGGGCGGGACACGUGGUAUCCUGUCUGAAUAUGGGGGGACCAUCCUCCAAGGCUAAAUACUCCUGACUGACCGAUAGUGAACCAGUACCGUGAGGGAAAGGCGAAAAGAACCCCGGCGAGGGGAGUGAAAAAGAACCUGAAACCGUGUACGUACAAGCAGUGGGAGCCUCUUUAUGGGGUGACUGCGUACCUUUUGUAUAAUGGGUCAGCGACUUAUAUUCUGUAGCAAGGUUAACCGAAUAGGGGAGCCGAAGGGAAACCGAGUCUUAACUGGGCGUUAAGUUGCAGGGUAUAGACCCGAAACCCGGUGAUCUAGCCAUGGGCAGGUUGAAGGUUGGGUAACACUAACUGGAGGACCGAACCGACUAAUGUUGAAAAAUUAGCGGAUGACUUGUGGCUGGGGGUGAAAGGCCAAUCAAACCGGGAGAUAGCUGGUUCUCCCCGAAAGCUAUUUAGGUAGCGCCUCGUGAAUUCAUCUCCGGGGGUAGAGCACUGUUUCGGCAAGGGGGUCAUCCCGACUUACCAACCCGAUGCAAACUGCGAAUACCGGAGAAUGUUAUCACGGGAGACACACGGCGGGUGCUAACGUCCGUCGUGAAGAGGGAAACAACCCAGACCGCCAGCUAAGGUCCCAAAGUCAUGGUUAAGUGGGAAACGAUGUGGGAAGGCCCAGACAGCCAGGAUGUUGGCUUAGAAGCAGCCAUCAUUUAAAGAAAGCGUAAUAGCUCACUGGUCGAGUCGGCCUGCGCGGAAGAUGUAACGGGGCUAAACCAUGCACCGAAGCUGCGGCAGCGACACUAUGUGUUGUUGGGUAGGGGAGCGUUCUGUAAGCCUGUGAAGGUGGCCUGUGAGGGUUGCUGGAGGUAUCAGAAGUGCGAAUGCUGACAUAAGUAACGAUAAAGCGGGUGAAAAGCCCGCUCGCCGGAAGACCAAGGGUUCCUGUCCAACGUUAAUCGGGGCAGGGUGAGUCGACCCCUAAGGCGAGGCCGAAAGGCGUAGUCGAUGGGAAACAGGUUAAUAUUCCUGUACUUGGUGUUACUGCGAAGGGGGGACGGAGAAGGCUAUGUUGGCCGGGCGACGGUUGUCCCGGUUUAAGCGUGUAGGCUGGUUUUCCAGGCAAAUCCGGAAAACCAAGGCUGAGGCGUGAUGACGAGGCACUACGGUGCUGAAGCGACAAAUGCCCUGCUUCCAGGAAAAGCCUCUAAGCAUCAGGUAACAUCAAAUCGUACCCCAAACCGACACAGGUGGUCAGGUAGAGAAUACCAAGGCGCUUGAGAGAACUCGGGUGAAGGAACUAGGCAAAAUGGUGCCGUAACUUCGGGAGAAGGCACGCUGAUAUGUAGGUGAAGCGACUUGCUCGUGGAGCUGAAAUCAGUCGAAGAUACCAGCUGGCUGCAACUGUUUAUUAAAAACACAGCACUGUGCAAACACGAAAGUGGACGUAUACGGUGUGACGCCUGCCCGGUGCCGGAAGGUUAAUUGAUGGGGUUAGCGGUAACGCGAAGCUCUUGAUCGAAGCCCCGGUAAACGGCGGCCGUAACUAUAACGGUCCUAAGGUAGCGAAAUUCCUUGUCGGGUAAGUUCCGACCUGCACGAAUGGCGUAAUGAUGGCCAGGCUGUCUCCACCCGAGACUCAGUGAAAUUGAACUCGCUGUGAAGAUGCAGUGUACCCGCGGCAAGACGGAAAGACCCCGUGAACCUUUACUAUAGCUUGACACUGAACAUUGAGCCUUGAUGUGUAGGAUAGGUGGGAGGCUUUGAAGUGUGGACGCCAGUCUGCAUGGAGCCGACCUUGAAAUACCACCCUUUAAUGUUUGAUGUUCUAACGUUGGCCCGUAAUCCGGGUUGCGGACAGUGUCUGGUGGGUAGUUUGACUGGGGCGGUCUCCUCCUAAAGAGUAACGGAGGAGCACGAAGGUUGGCUAAUCCUGGUCGGACAUCAGGAGGUUAGUGCAAUGGCAUAAGCCAGCUUGACUGCGAGCGUGACGGCGCGAGCAGGUGCGAAAGCAGGUCAUAGUGAUCCGGUGGUUCUGAAUGGAAGGGCCAUCGCUCAACGGAUAAAAGGUACUCCGGGGAUAACAGGCUGAUACCGCCCAAGAGUUCAUAUCGACGGCGGUGUUUGGCACCUCGAUGUCGGCUCAUCACAUCCUGGGGCUGAAGUAGGUCCCAAGGGUAUGGCUGUUCGCCAUUUAAAGUGGUACGCGAGCUGGGUUUAGAACGUCGUGAGACAGUUCGGUCCCUAUCUGCCGUGGGCGCUGGAGAACUGAGGGGGGCUGCUCCUAGUACGAGAGGACCGGAGUGGACGCAUCACUGGUGUUCGGGUUGUCAUGCCAAUGGCACUGCCCGGUAGCUAAAUGCGGAAGAGAUAAGUGCUGAAAGCAUCUAAGCACGAAACUUGCCCCGAGAUGAGUUCUCCCUGAGACUUAGAGUCUCCUGAAGGAACGUUGAAGACGACGACGUUGAUAGGCCGGGUGUGUAAGCGCAGCGAUGCGUUGAGCUAACCGGUACUAAUGAACCGUGAGGCUUAACCUUACAACGCCGAAG